rnacentral:rRNA from 1 species
UACGAAGGGGGCUAGCGUUGUUCGGAAUUACUGGGCGUAAAGCGCGCGCAGGCGGUCCUUCAAGUCAGAGGUGAAAGCCCAGAGCUCAACUCUGGAACGGCCUUUGAGACUAGAGGACUUGGGUACGGGAGAGGUGAGUGGAAUUCCAAGUGUAGAGGUGAAAUUCGUAGAUAUUCGGAAGAACACCAGUGGCGAAGGCGGCUCACUGGCCCGUUACCGACGCUCAGGCGCGACAGCGUGGGGAGCAAACAGG